AUCCUUGCAUUUGUCUCACUGUAUCACUGUCUCCGAUGCUUCUCCAUUUUUGUCCCACCGCCUUAUCUUCCUUCUCUAAUAAUAUCUCUUUCUUUCUCUUGCUUUCUGGAUGGUUCCGUCCACUGCCUAGACGGCGUCGUAGAAUACCGAUGCAUCCUCCACCGGCCACCACCUCUAAUACCAAAGUUUUCUCGUUUGUUUCUGUCUUCCAUCUUCGAUCACACGUCAAGAGUUCUGAUUCUAGGAAGAAUCGGUAGAGUCGGUGGUUCUAACGACAUCGCUCUAUCAAACUUCUAUCUCACCUUUGCUUGUAAGUUUACCAUCUCAAAAAUCCAAAAAACUUCUCCAACCUUUCGAUGAACAUUUCAACCGACCUGUAAAAAAAUCGUCACAUGAAAGGGACAAAGAGGGUAUUUGGUUGAAGCACAUACAAAGUUUGAGGCCAUGGCCUUAUUGAACAAGAUGGCUUCUCUUCUGGAACGUCGUCCCGCUCCUUUUUUCUAAUUUCUGAUUUCGUUUUCUACAAAUUCGAACUGAAAUUGAUCUUUUUUUCAGUUCAGUUACAACUUUAAAUCAAUUCUAUUUUUGUUUUCUACAGAUUCUAACUUAACAUGCACACACACCAUUUGUUCUUGAUAUGGCCAAAAAUGUCCACCGACCACCAUUGUCUCGUUUGCCCUCCAUUAUUUUCAUUGACGUUGGUGAUCGCCGGAAAAAGAGGCUAGAGCAACCACACAACCAAUUACUCUGUUAGUUAAAGGUAUAUUGAACGAUUCCUGUGGUUGAUACCUACUUCCCAAACCCAAAAGGGUUUGAGUGUUAUUGUAUUCAGGCUGGGAGUGUAGAGCGAGAUCUGACUUUAUCUUUUUUGCUUUUCUUGAACCGGUGAAAAAAUGUGAUAUAUAGUAGUUGGAAAUAUGAUUGAUUUGGGGCUGGGAUUUUUUUUUUGAGAAGUUGACUUAUCAAAAAGUUAGAGAAGGAUAAAGUCUGGAGCAAGGAUAAAGUUAGAGAGGGAAUUUUUUUUUUUUGGGAAGUUGACUUUGAAGAAAGUGUUGCGAGUAUGAAUGAUGAAAAUUAAGUAAGUUACUAGGAAUAAACGUAAGCAGGAGAUGCCGAAAUAGAGCAAGAUUUGCUUUGCUCGACCGUUACUACAUCGUAUAUCGGGCCUUCAGAUGGCUAUCUUUAUGCCAUGGAAAAAGCUUUCAACGAGGUCAAACUAAGAGUCAAUAUAUUGUUUACAGACCACCAUCACCACCACCCACAACCACCACACUACCGCUAUAAUAUAAAUUAAGAAAAGAAAUAAUGGGUAUUUAAAUUUAAAAAACAAAUGGUUAAUAUUUAUCAAAACCUUUCCUACAUAGGAACAAAAAAAAAAAACAACACAAAACAAAACCCCGUUAUCAUUUAUUUAAAUUUAUGGACCAUUUUGCCUGUUUUUAACAAAAGCGUUGAUUGCUAUGCAACAUGAGGUUUAGCAAUGAACAUUGUUGAUUGUGUAUCAAAGCUUGGAACAAAGACAUUCAUGAUAAAUGCAUUAGGAUUGGACAUUCCAGCUUCAAAUUCAGUAAAAGGUUGAUUUUUUAGUAAUCUUAUUAAAUGUAUAAGGGGUUGGCAGAUAUGGCCCCCUAUUUAUGAUUUCGUUGAAAUUUCGACUUCGUGGGCAUUUUAUGGACUUAUGAACAUUCUUUAGACGCGUGUUUAUCAUCGUUGCAUUUGUCUCACUGUAUAACUGUCUCCGAUGCUUCUCAGUUUUUAUCCCACCGCCUUAUCUUCCUUCUCUAAUGAUAUCUCUUUCUUUCUCUUCCUUUCUGGAUGGUUCUAUCCACUGCCCUAGAUAGCGUUAUACAACACCGAUGCGCCCUCCACCUUUAAUACCGAAGUUUUCCCAUUUCUUUAAUCAUAUUACUGAAUUAAUCAGUUGUAGGUUGUGGAUCAAAACUGAUUAUAAAAUUGAACCUUAUCACAUGCGCACCCAUAAGGCAUUCGCUGAAAUGCCUUGGCCAAUUAAGUGGACAAUUAUUCAAAAAUUAUACUGGGUUUCAGUUGUGAUGACGAUGUUGGUGGUGUUGGAGAAUAGAAAUUUCCCAGGUAAAUUUUUUUUAUUUGUGAUGGUGGUUGCUCAAAGAUUACCCAACACAGUAUAGUCACGAAGUGGUAAAAAUAUGAGGUAAAGAGUUGCGUCUCUAAUCAUGCUUCCAGGUAAUCCGUAUUCAGUACUUUUUGAUUUUGAUUUUGAUUUAAGAUUUCCCCCAAAACCCAAAUUGAAAUCAAGACUCAAUACCUUAAUAUAACAUGUUUGAUUUAGAAUUCCGAAAAUGUAUAGGUCUUACGUGUUUCAUUUUACACAUAAGAAGUAUUGAUUUUGUGAUUCUUUCAGAUACACAAACCUGUUUAUCUUCAUAUUGGAGACGUCCACUACCCGAUGAAAAGCUUCACCCAAGUUUCUAAAUUUUCAUUCUCAACCAUCUUUUCAAGCCGAAACUAAUUAAUUUGUUGGUAUAGGAUCACUAUAAAUCCGUAGAACCAUACCCAAAGAGCUUGGAAAUCUUAUAGAACAUGACAAAAAAAAUGUUUGUUUCGCUAAUGGAAUGGAAUAGACUAUUAAUUAUGAUGUCUAUUCCAAUCCAUCCAAGUAAACACCUUUUUUAAUCAUGAACCAGAUGGAGGUUAAUGAUCUUCAACAACUGAUAUUAACCAAGGAAGAACAGGUGGAGGUUAAUGAUCUUCAAAAACUAGUAUUAACUUAGGAAGAACACAAAAUAGGAACAAAUAUUACAUAUUUCGAUUUCACUUCAUGCUACAUUUGGUAAAAAAAAACUAUGUGUACAUGGGUAAAAAAAAUUGUUUUUUACAUAUUUUAUUAAAUAUUUCUGAUUUCACUAAUCAAAAAUUUCUAUUAGAGCAUUGUAGUUU